GUGGGGAAUAUUGGACAAUGGGGGGAACCCUGAUCCAGCCAUGCCGCGUGUGUGAAGAAGGCCUUUUGGUUGUAAAGCACUUUAAGUGGGGAGGAGGCUUACCUGGUUAAUACCUGGGCUAAGUGGACGUUACCCACAGAAUAAGCACCGGCUAACUCUGUGCCAGCAGCCGCGGUAAUACAGAGGGUGCGAGCGUUAAUCGGAUUUACUGGGCGUAAAGCGCGCGUAGGUGGUUAAUUAAGUCAAAUGUGAAAUCCCCGAGCUUAACUUGGGAAUUGCAUUCGAUACUGGUUGGCUAGAGUAUAGGAGAGGAUGGUAGAAUUCCAGGUGUAGCGGUGAAAUGCGUAGAGAUCUGGAGGAAUACCGAUGGCGAAGGCAGCCAUCUGGCCUAAUACUGACACUGAGGUGCGAAAGCAUGGGGAGCAAACAGGAUUAGAAACCCUUGUAGUCC
rnacentral:rRNA from 1 species